UAACCAGCUAUUACAUUGAUAACCUGUAGCCUUUUUAUGUUGAAUGUAUGUAAGUGAUGAUGGACCUGUAAAAAACACAAAAAAAAAAACAAAACAGCAAUCGAUAUAGGAGCCACAUGUAUCAGUUGAUGUUGGUGUUGUAUGAUGUAGAUGUGUCUGCUGUAAACCUGUACUCAGUUCUCAAAGACAUGGACUUUGUGUAGCGGGAAAACUGCUUCCGACACUUUCCUCAUAUGUCAUUCCAGCACAGAUUUACAUAGAAACAUCGUGUUAAAUUCUUUUUUAAAGGCUAUGUUAUGCCCAUAAAGGCCCACCUAGAGUUUCCUAGGUUCGAAAAGUUUUAUAAAAACCUGUCAUGGUCUGCAGAGGACCAGGUUGCAAUCCUGUUUCUCUGAAACAUACUAGGAUUGAAUAUGGGCAGCCUUUAGUCGUUUUUCGUUAUUCCAGACAUUUUGAGCUGGCUUUUAGUUCAUUAAUGAUCACUUUCUCUAUUAUGAGUACUGUGCACUGUUUUAAAUACUUUGCUAACUAUAAAAAAAUCUAAACAGUGACAAUGAAGAACUACGGCCUGUUCUAGUAAAAUGUAAAUAAAUACUUUAUUAUAUAAAUGAUAUUAUAUAAGCUAUAUUAAAUUAUGUGGGAUACAAAUGAAAACACUUUAAGAAUAUAUCCAAGAAUACACAGCAACUUGUCAGUCCUAAAGUUGCCAUGUGUUAAAGUGAAUAUUUCAAAGGGCUUUGUUUCAUUUAGAGAUUUAUUUUAAUUAUUUACAUACCCAUACCUUUUCAUAUGGUAUGCAUUUUACUUCAGUGUAAUUCUGUUUUCCCUUUGCUGUCUUGAAAUCACCUAAAAUGUUUGCCCGCUAUUUGGCCAGUGGAGAUUGGUGGCACCGACUGAGUAAUUGAGUUGUGCUUCCCUGAUUUCCAUGUCACUUCCGUUCCUCACUGUGUGAAAUCAAAUGGUUGUGACAAUCUGCUUUAUUUGUCGAAGGCCUUUCAGACAGAAGCUGCAUUCACAUGUACAGGAACAUGUUUAUCUCAGUAACAUGUUUAACACCUAAAUCUCUACCAGCUGCCAGUGGAGUUGUGACUGAGUUUGAUGAAACGAUGAGUGAAUAUUGAUAAAAUGGUGCACAGGGACACUGUUUCAGCUUGGUCGUCAUUUUUUUAUGUAUGCUGAUUGUGGACUUUGCCCUUACUAGCUGCUAUAUGAAUGGAAUCCUUUCUGUUUCAUUAAGACUGAGUAAGUAUGUACUGCUGCUUACUGAAGAGAGUUAGCUCUCCUCGUUGUUUGUAUACUUGUAAACAAAAGAUGGAAAAGGGAGCCUGUUUGUGUGUGUUUACUGCUUUAUUGGAUUAUAGUUACUGAUGAUGGAAGAGUGCAACAUUAAGAAGAAGCCAGAUAAAAUGACUAUGAAGUGAACGUGUUGAUUUCUGCUGCACCAGGAAUUUUACUUGAGAAUUAAAUGGUAAUUAUUGAGAGCGAUAAAUUUUUCAAGGCCAAAAUUGCGUAGCACUUGGUACUAACAGUAGUCAAAAUGCCUUGGUUCAAGUCCAAGUUAAUCAGGGUUUUCUGUGUUGAGAAGCGUAAAUCUUUUUCUUUUUAAAGUGUGUCCUAAUGUGUAUGUACUAUAUAUUGCCAGUGCCUAGUAUGCCUAGUUUCAACUGUCUGUAAAUCUUAUAUUUAUUAUUUUCUUGUGUGUGUUUGGCUAUAAGUCCCUGUAGUAAUUUAUUUUCCUUGUAAUUUAUGUUAAAAAUGCCACUACAUAGCAUUUCCUGAAUAAAAAGUGUAAUUCCCUUUUGAGGACGACAUACAUUAGCAGGGGCCCCCAGCGGACCCCUGCACAAUCGGACUUUCCCAGUCCUGUCUAUAGGCUGCCCUGCCCUGUACUUAUGUAGGUGUGCUGUGCACAGGAGCGUUGGGGGCUAUCGGAGCCCGCAUCGCUCCUGUUCCAUCAUUUAUCGCCACUUUGUGCGUGUGAUUUUUUUUGGAAAGGCCCUCUUUUGGCCUACAGACAUCGGUGCAGACAGCAAGCAAGCAGAAGAGUAAAGCCAGUCAAAUGUAAGCAUCUUGAUAGAGUCAUCAUUAAGGUCUCCUGUAAAAGGAGGCAUGUUGAAUGCUGGGCUCUGUCUGUAACCCUGAGCCAAGUAAGCUGUUGUAUGUUUGUGCUUUAUUAAAGCAAAACUAUAUAGCUAGAAGAUUGCCUGUGGAAAAAAAUUCUGUUUUACACAGCAAACUGGCUCUGUGUGCCCGACUUUUGGCUGGUGAGAGCUUAUGCAGUCCAGCUGGUGACCCCAGCUGGAACACAGCAGAGAGUCGCUUGGGAAGGAUGUGGAGAGACGGAAAUUGGGGAUGUUACAUGAUUACUGACAGGAAGAAACCACGGCACCCAUAGAAGGAGCAUCAUUAGAAAAGGAAGUGUUUUCAGAACUAGGCACAAGACAUCCUAAAGACAAACUGCACUGCGUCUGCACUGAUGUCGGGGCCCAGUUGACCUGCUGAGUGUCUGAAGUUGAACUAAGUGGCGGUUCAUCCAGUAAGUGUGUCUCUCCCUCACUGGCAAUCCUAAUAAUCAUUGUGCAAUAAAACUCGAGAGUAUUGGCACACUA